rnacentral:rRNA from 1 species
AAGCGGUGGAUUAUGUGGAUUAAUUCGAUGCAACGCGAAAAACCUUACCUGGCCUUGACAUGUACGGAACUUUCUAGAGAUAGAUUGGUGCCUUCGGGAACCGUAACACAGGUGCUGCAUGGCUGUCGUCAGCUCGUGUCGUGAGAUGUUGGGUUAAGUCCCGCAACGAGCGCAACCCUUGCCAAUAAUUGCCAUCAUUUAGUUGGGCACUUUAUUGGGACUGCCGGUGACAAACCGGAGGAAGGUGGGGAUGACGUCAAGUCCUCAUGGCCCUUAUGGCCAGGGCUUCACACGUAAUACAAUGGUCGGUACAGAGGGUCGCCAACCCGCGAGGGGGAGCUAAUCCCAGAAAGCCGAUCGUAGUCCGGAUUGUUCUCUGCAACUCGAGAGCAUGAAGUCGGAAUCGCUAGUAAUCGCGGAUCAGAAUGUCGCGGUGAAUACGUUCCCGGGCCUUGUACACACCGCCCGUCACACCAUGGGAGUGGGUUUUACCAGAAGUAGGUAGUCUAACCUUCGGGGG